AAGACCCUGUCUCAAAAAACAAAAAAGCAAAAAAAAAAAAAAAACAAAAAACAAAACCUACAUGGUCAGGUACAGUGACUACGCCCAUAAUCCCAGCACUUUGGGAGGCCAAGGUAGGUCGAUCACUUAGCCCAGGAGUUCAACAGCCUGGGCAACAUAGUGAGAGACCCCCACCAAUAUGUACAAAACAAACAAACCCAAAACAACUGAAGGAACAGCUACAGCAUAAAAAGUCAUCAUCAUAACUAGUUUGUGGAGAAAUGGCUACAGGUGAUCCCUUCCUGCUCCCUCACCCCAGGUCCAAUCUAUACCAGUUCCUGUUGACGUCAUCUACUGAAUCUCAUCACUUCCCCCCAUCUGCUAUGCCACCAGUCCUGCUUAGAGUCAACGUCAUCCCAUUUUGCCGAUAAGCAUUUUGCUGAUCUUCAAUUUUAGCCUGCUGGGUGUGGAGGAUUCCAACCCAAUUAACAGACAAGGAAGCUGAAGGAGCAGGAGCGUCUACACUCUAGCUGUCAGGAUGCUAUGGGAUACAGCAGAGAAUAAAAGGGACAAAGCCUCGACUUUCAUGGAUCUUACAUCCUGGUGCGGGAGCCAGAUAGCAAGUAAGUCUAUACCAUCAUGUCAGCAAGUGAUAAAGACUGAAGAACAAUCAGCAAGUGAUAAAGACAGGAACAAUUAAUGGGAGGGGGAGGUUUGAGAGGGAGGGAUGGGGCUGCCAUUUUACCUUGGCUGGGCAGGGAGAAUCUGUCUGAGGAAAGGUCAUUUGGGCUGUUGGAAGGUCUAUGGGAAAAGCAUUUUGAGCAAAGGGAACAGCAGGUGUCGAGAAGAUUGUGCUUGGUGCUUUUAGGGAACAUUAGGAGGCCAGCGAGCCUGGGUUGGAGUGAGGCCGAGCAAGUAGAGGGCUCUGAGGUGGGAGAGGUGAGGGGGUG
rnacentral:lncRNA from 1 species